AGGGUUGUAGCUCAGGUGGUUAGAGCGCACCCCUGAUAAGGGUGAGGUCGGUGGUUCAAGUCCACUCAGGCCUACCA
rnacentral:tRNA from 1 species